rnacentral:pre_miRNA from 7 species
GCAUAGCAACUGAAAGACCCCCGAAGGGAGACCCUUACUCAGACACUCAAGUCCCGGGACAGCCGCGUACCCAAGAAGACACUGAGACCA